rnacentral:rRNA from 1 species
AUUGAACGCUGGCGGCAGGCCUAACACAUGCAAGUCGAACGGUAACAGGAAACAGCUUGCUGUUUCGCUGACGAGUGGCGGACGGGUGAGUAAUGUCUGGGAAACUGCCUGAUGGAGGGGGAUAACUACUGGAAACGGUAGCUAAUACCGCAUAACGUCGCAAGACCAAAGAGGGGGACCUUCGGGCCUCUUGCCAUCGGAUGUGCCCAGAUGGGAUUAGCUAGUAGGUGGGGUAACGGCUCACCUAGGCGACGAUCCCUAGCUGGUCUGAGAGGAUGACCAGCCACACUGGAACUGAGAUACGGUCCAGACUCCUACGGGAGGCAGCAGUGGGGAAUAUUGCACAAUGGGCGCAAGCCUGAUGCAGCCAUGCCGCGCGUAUGAAGAAGGCCUUCGGGUUGUAAAGUACUUUCAGCGGGGAGGAAGGGAGUAAAGUUAAUACCUUUGCUCAUUGACGUUACCCGCAGAAGAAGCACCGGCUAACUCCGUG